ACGCUCGACACCUACGGGAGGCNGCAGUGGGGAAUAUUGCACAAUGGGGGAAACCCUGAUGCAGCGACGCCGCGUGGAGGAAGAAGGUCUUCGGAUUGUAAACUCCUGUUGUUGGGGAAAAAGAGGAUGGUACCCAACAAGGAAGUGACGGCUAACUACGUACCAGCAGCCGCGGUAAUCUGAGCGGGCUGGCAAGGC
rnacentral:rRNA from 1 species